UACGUAGGGUGCAAGCGUUAAUCGGAAUUACUGGGCGUAAAGCGUGCGUAGGCGGUUAUCCAAGACAGAUGUGAAAUUCCCGGGCUCAACCUGGGCACUGCAUUUGUGACUGGAUAGCUAGAGUAUGUCAGAGGGGGGUAGAAUUCCACGUGUAGCAGUGAAAUGCGUAGAUAUGUGGAGGAACACCGAUGGCGAAGGCAGCCCCCUGGGACGGUACUGACGCUCAAGCACGAAAGCGUGGGGAGCAAACAGG
rnacentral:rRNA from 1 species